rnacentral:lncRNA from 1 species
CGAUUAUGCAAAUUUUCUGUCCAAAUUUUUUUUCACUUUUUUUUUAGAGUGAGAGUCAUCUCAAUAUGAGACAUAAUCUCUUAUAGAAUGAAUGGCUGACACAUGGAUUAACUGACCAUUGCAUGGCUUUGAACAGCCCUGAACAGACAUAGGCAUAUUCAUACAGACACUAAUCCACAUGUGCAGAGGCAGCUGAUUUGAUGUAGCUCAACACGACAAAAAUCACGGUGAAAUUUCAAGUAAGGAAACUGAAAUUACCUUCUGGUUGGUUGGUUGGUUGGUUGGUUGCUUGCUUGCUUGCUUGCUUGCUUGCUUGUUUUUUGGGGUUUAUUUUUGUUUGGAUUUUUUUUU